rnacentral:tRNA from 2 species
GGGAUUAUAGUUAAUAAUAACAUUUAGUUUGCAUCUAAAAAGUAUUGAAUAAUCAAUUAUUCUCA